rnacentral:tRNA from 1 species
GGGCUCGUAGCUCAGGGGUUAGAGCGUUCGGUUCACAUCCGAAAGGUCAGAGGUUCAAUUCCUCUCGGGCCCACCA